CAGGCUGCAGGUAAAACUCAGCAUUUUCCUUUUGGAUGAUCAGUCCAUUCAGCUGCCCUGAGGGAGAGGGUUCAGACCCAAUGGAGUCCACACAGCUUCCAGCUGCAUGGUCACUCCGCAGUGAAGGACCAGAGGAGGGAGGAGGUGUGGCUAUUUACAGCCCACCACCAGGCUCACCUGGUGGAGGGGGCGUGGCAGAGGAGUUGGGAGGCGGUCCUCUAAUCACCAUUGUCAAAAAGGAAAAGGAUGACUUGUGGUCAUGUGACAGUUCUGCCUCCUCCGACAGCGAGGAUGAGGAGGACCGUAAAGGCAGGAAGAAGAAAAAGAAGAAGAAGAAGAAGCUGAAAAAGAAGAAGAGCAAGAGGUCCCGGUCAUCUUCGUCUUCCAGUAGCUCCUCAGACAGUGACUGGAGUGAGGUGAGUUUAACUAAAUUUAUACCGAUUAGCACUGAAAUAUACUGUAUGCUGCAUGUUGUAGC
rnacentral:lncRNA from 1 species